AGUGAACGCUGGCGGUAGGCCUAACACAUGCAAGUCGAACGGCAGCACAGUAAUAGCUUGCUCUUACGGGUGGCGAGUGGCGGACGGGUGAUGAAUACAUCGGAAUCUACUUUUUCGUGGGGGCUAACGUAGGGAAACUUACGCUAAUACCGCAUACGACCUACGGGUGAAAGCAUGGGAUCUUCGGACCUUGCGCGAUUGAAUGAGCCGAUGUCGGAUUAGCUAGUUGGCGGGGUAAAGGCCCACCAAGGCGACGAUCCGUAGCUGGUCUGAGAGGAUGAUCAGUCACACUGGAACUGAGACACGGUCCAGACUCCUACGGGAGGCAGCAGUGGGGAAUAUUGGACAAUGGGCGCAAGCCUGAUCCAGCCAUACCGCGUGGGUGAAGAAGGCCUUCGGGUUGUAAAGCCCUUUUGUUGGGAAAGAAAAGCAGCAGGUUAAUACCCCGCUGUUCUGACGGUACCAAAAGAAUAAGCACCGGCUAACUUCGUG
rnacentral:rRNA from 1 species